UACGAGGGGGGCGAGCGUUGUUCGGAAUUAUUGGGCGUAAAGGGUGCGUAGGCGGUUUGGUAGGUCUUGUGUGAAAUCUCCAGGCUCAACUUGGAGUCUGCACGAGAAACUGCCGGGCUUGAGUGUGGGAGAGGUGAGUGGAAUUCCUGGUGUAGCGGUGAAAUGCGUAGAUAUCAGGAGGAACACCUGUGGCGAAAGCGGCUCACUGGACCACAACUGACGCUGAUGCACGAAAGCUAGGGGAGCAAACAGG
rnacentral:rRNA from 1 species